CAGCCGCCGCGGUAAUACGAAGGGUGCAAGCGUUAAUCGGAAUUACUGGGCGUAAAGCGUGCGUAGGCGGUUUGUUAAGUCUGCUGUGAAAUCCCCGGGCUCAACCUGGGAAUGGCAGUGGAUACUGGCUCGCUAGAGUGUGUCAGAGGAUGGUGGAAUUCCCGGUGUAGCAGUGAAAUGCGUAGAGAUCGGAAGGAACAUCUGUGGCGAAGGCGACUAUCUGGGCCAACACUGACGCUGAGGCACGAAAGCGUGGGGAGCAAACAGGAUUAGAGACCCCUGUAGUCCCUGUCUCUUAUAC
rnacentral:rRNA from 1 species